CCUACGGGAGGCAGCAGUGGGGAAUAUUGGACAAUGGGCGCAAGCCUGAUCCAGCAAUGCCGCGUGAGUGAUGAAGGCCUUAGGGUCGUAAAGCUCUUUUACCAGGGAUGAUAAUGACAGUACCUGGAGAAUAAGCUCCGGCUAACUCCGUGCCAGCAGCCGCGGUAAUACGGAGGGAGCUAGCGUUGUUCGGAAUUACUGGGCGUAAAGCGUACGUAGGCGGUUAUUCAAGUCAGAGGUGAAAGCCCGGGGCUCAACCCCGGAACGGCCUUUGAAACUAGGUAGCUAGAAUCUUGGAGAGGUCAGUGGAAUUCCGAGUGUAGAGGUGAAAUUCGUAGAUAUUCGGAAGAACACCAGUGGCGAAGGCGACUGACUGGACAAGUAUUGACGCUGAGGUACGAAAGCGUGGGGAGCAAACAGGAUUAGAUACCCUGGUAGUCCACGCCGUAAACGAUGAUAACUAGCUGUUCGGGCACUUGGUGCUUGAGUGGCGCAGCUAACGCAUUAAGUUAUCCGCCUGGGGAGUACGGUCGCAAGAUUAAAACUAANAGAAUUGACGG
rnacentral:rRNA from 1 species